AAGAGCAGGGUGGGACUGGCUGGCUUGUGCACUUGGCCUGGGGAGGAGUUUGCAUGCUAUUUCUCUGGCUAGCUACAUUGUAGCUUUAGCAUUGGCUCUCUCGGGAGCAGGGAGGAGGGAGCAGCCCUAGCUGAACACAUUGCCGGCAGCGCGCAGUGUAUUGGCUUAAGAAGCAGCAGGGUGGGGAACAAGGGAAGGAAGAACCCGCUGCUGCUCACUGCAACUCGGAGCAGGAGUCUCACUACCAGCGUCCGGCACUGAGGCUGAGUACUGCGGAGGAGGACGUGUUUGACUGAAAGUGUUGUAAAACCUGGAUUAUGAAUGGCAGAGUCAGGGAAUGGAAGCUCUGCUGAGUUGACAAGUUUCAUCUUCAAGAAAAUUUAGAACAGAACAAAUUGACUUGUGAAGCUGUGUGUUCCUAAUCUCAGCCUCCACUGGGAACAUGUCACUUGUCCAACUUCUUAACACGUCUGCAUUCAGCCUCAUCAAAUACGAAUCACCCUGGAUUUAAUACAUUUUGUUGAUUCCAACAUUAAGAGUUUAAGCUGAUUUUUCUAAGGCAACUGAUUUACUGCUGGACUCUCAAAAGACAUCACAAGUGCCUGGAAUGAAUUACUUGGGUCACUUUGUUAUCUGUGACGUAUCCAACAAACUUUAGAAAGAGAAACUGUGAGUAGCUGAAAUUAAUUCCCUGAACCAUUUUGACAGUGAGAACUUUCCCCCUACAUGUUACUACUCCAUUUCAAAACAUCUCUUUAUAAAAAAAAUGGCAGAAAACAUUUAGAUUAUUUUUAAACCUGUUUUUUUUAGGAUCCAAAAAGAUACCCUCAUCUGAGGGAUUAUUUUGAUGGACUUCGCCAGGCCAGCUCUGAAUAGUAAAGGCUUUAGUAAUCGGCAAGAUGUCCACUAAGGUCCCAAUCUACCUGAAAAGAGGCAGUAGGAAGGGCAAGAAGGAAAAACUCAGAGAUAUCCUUUCUUCUGAUAUGAUCAGCCCCCCCUUGGGAGACUUCAGACACACUAUUCACAUAGGGAGUGGUGGGGAGAAUGAUAUGUUUGGGGAUAUUUCUUUCUUGCAAGGGAAAUUCCACCUUCUACCAAGGACUGAAGGUAGCCUAGAUUCUGACAGGAGCAGCCACUGUGGAGUGCCAUUUGAGUUCUCAAGGACUGCUACUAUUUCUGGUCAUGAGCAACCAUUUUCUGAAGCCCCCUCGCCCCUCUUAAAGAAUGCCAUCUCGCUGCCUGUCAUUGGAGGUCCACAGGCUCUAAUGUUGCCCUCUACCCAGGCCCCACCAAAGCCACCAAGGCUACACCUUGAUGACAAAGUUCAACCAGCUCUGCAAGGCAAGGAAGCUGUGGCAGAACUGACUUCAUCCAAGGAUAGCAGGACUUCUGAACCUGUCCCUCAUCUCUGCAGCCCCAGUGAGCUGUUUGCCAUCCCUCAGAAUGGAUUUGUUGAAGAGAAAAAUAAGGAUGAGUCCUUUAUGUCUCAUGCUGGUUCCCUGCUCUCCCUCCAUGUGGAUCUGGGACCUUCUAUCUUGGAGGAUGUCCUUCAGGUCAUGGAUAAACACCAAGCUGGGAAAGUGAUACAAGAUUCUGGCAGGCAAGAAAUCCUGACAUGAAAACUAAAGGGACUUCCGUGGGGAAAGACUUUAAAAUGUAGUAUUUUGUAGAUAAGAAUUUUUCCCCCAGUGUCGAAUGUGGUUAACUGGGCCAGCUUGAAUUAGUGAAUUUUAUCCUGUGUGAAAUCCCAAUUGUGCAUCUCAUAGUAAUAGGGUAUUAAGCUUUUAGGAGCGUGUUGCUUACUUUCUGCAUUGCCCAACGUUUUUUUUUUUUUAUGUUGCUUGCUGCAGGCCUUUGAAUGCUGCUCAGUACUGAAAAAUGUAUGAAACUAAGAUAAAUUCAGCAGCAGCAAUAAAUUGCCGCUUAGCAAUAAGACUUCUAACUUUACUGAUCUGAAUAAAUUUUAAGGGAUAUGACUUUUUUUAAAAGGACCGUGUCAUUUUAAACUAUUUGUAGUGGGUGUGGUAUGAAUGAUGCUGUGGAAUAUCAAGAGUUUAAUUCAAAAGGAUCCUGGUUCAGAUUGAGAGACUAUUUUACACAGAACUUUGUUAAAGUAGAGCCUGUGAGAGAUGCCAUAUUGCUGAGGUCCUUGUUAAAGGGAAGAAAAAGAUGUAGACUGGAAUAUAACCACAUAUAUUAAGGGGAUUUCUCAUUAGCAUUGUAAUCAAGAUUCACUGUCCACAUUAGUCAUGUAACUUACCCGCAGAUGUAGUACAACUCAAUCAAGUUGACCCAUGCUAUUCUAAAUCAAACUGUUUUCCUAUCUGUAUUUACUGUUUGAAAACCUGACCACUUGCUGUUUGCCAGAUAACUUGAAUUGUCAAAUGGACUGUAAGCAAUUUUUUUUAACCUCUUAAUUGGAUUUUUAAAAGAACCUGCCACUUUACUAGUAAAGCAACUAGGAAAAAAAACAUUUGGUUUUGAUGAUGAUCCUUCUUUAUAAAAAAGCUAGGAGUAAAAAUUAGCGGACUGUAUGUUUUAGCAGACGUAGGCAUUCAAUGGUUGGAAGUUGAAGUCAUACUUCAAGCUGGAAAUCAGAUGAAACUUUUCAACAGCAAGGAUAAUUAACCACUGGAACAGAUUAUCAAGGGAUGUGGUAAAUUCUCCAUCACUUGGAGUCUACAAACUGAGAGACACUCUCUAAUUCAACCACAAAUUGUUGAGCUUGAUGUAGAAAUUUGUGGGGACAUUUUUUAGUCUGUGUUAUGAAGAAUGAUGAUGGUCCCUUCUGGCCUUAAAAUUGGUGGAAAUCUAAAUUCUAUUGGCAUUAGAACUGCAGAAAUAACCAAGACAACAGAUGGUUCCAUUUGCUCAAGUGGGUCAUAUUUUCAAAGUUGCCUAAAAGAUUUGGAUUCCCAAUUCCCAUUAAAAUUCCCUAGGUGGUUUUUAAAUGUCAGCCCUUGGUCUUAUAUUUAUUUAUUUAUUUAUAAUACUUUAGUACCUCGGUAGGAGCUCCAGUCUAUCUCAGUAAUUCUGUGUCGCUCAUCAUUAAUGGACUUUAUCCUCAUAGCACUCCUGUGAUGUAGGGGAGCAUUGUCCCCAUUUUAUAGCUGGAGGAACUGAGGCAAAGGAUAGAUCAAUGGGCAGAUUUUUAAAGGCUUUUAAAUUCCUUGGGCAGGGUCACACAGGGAAUCCAGGGCUAAGCCAGGAAUUGAACCUAACACCCCAGAGUCCCAGUCUAGUAGCCAUUCUUCCACCCAGUCAAAUAUCAAGGCCCCAUGGUGCUAGGUAUUAUACAGACAUUUUAAUAUAGAAGACCACUUCUGCCUCCACAAUCUUACUAUGUAAGUACUGGAUAGGACACACAACUGAGUGGGUAGAGAGGAUGAGGGAAUAAUAAAAGAAACAGCAUGAAGCAGAGAAAUAUUAGUCUCCACUUGUCACUAAUCUAAGCAGUGUUAAACAAGAAUGAUUUGUAGGUGUCAUGGCAGAGGUAGGAUAUAAGGAGGGACUUAAAAGACUGCUCAACUAAUCUGUGGGGGAUGCGUUGUUGGAACAAUAUGGAAUAAUUCAGACUUGCAUUAUUUUUUGGGGCUAGGAUUGUAAAAAGAGCCUGCUGGAGUUGGACACCCAAAUCCAUCUGAAAUUUAAGAGGAAUUGGAUGCUUGACUCCCUUAAAAUCUUUUCAAACGCCCAGACUUGGGGUAUGAGAGAGGACAUAGUAUAAGCACCUAUCAGAUCCCUUUGACUGUAGGGUUCUAGUUCCGUCUCUGGGAGAGGAAUGUUUAAUGCUUAGGGAAGGAAACUGGGAGUCAGGACUCUUGGGUUCUAUUCCCAGCUCUGGGAGGAGGAUGUUGUCUUGUGCUUAGAAACAGUGAGGACCCAGGACUCAGCACUGUUCCUAGCUCUACCACUGAUUUACUGUGUCACAAUUGUCUCUUCCUCAGUUUCCCCAUCUAUAAAAUAGGAAUUAAAAAUGCCUUCCCUUUGUCACACAGAUAUCAAGGUUUGAUGUAUGUAAAGUAUAUAAGAACCCACUGGCUUAAAGGCAGUAAUUAAGUUCAAAGCAUCAUCAUGGACAUUUCUGGCAGCUUCAGUUCACAAUUUAAGAUGUGUACCCUUAAGAAUUAAGGUGCACUGACCUUCUGUUCCUCCCUCCACAUCAGAAUAUAUUUUUCCUACAACAUCUCAACGUCACUGAUUUGCAUUUUGUACAGAGUGUAUCAUUUUGUUUAAUCUUUUCUAGAGGGGAAUAAAUAAUGACUCAUUAAACUAACAAGCUCUCAUCUUGUCACUGCACAACUGUCUCAGCUCUUGUUUAUGCUGCCAUCUGUUUCUGUUGGGAGGCUUUACAAAGGAGACAAAUGUGUAUGUGAUUAAGGUGCCUUAUAAGGCAAUGCUGCCUGAGAGAAGCAGCAAUUUUGGUUUAAAUAAGUGUUUUGACAACUUUUCUAGCCUUCAGGCUGCAAAACAGAUAAACCGGACCAAAUUCAGCCUGGAAUAUGUGGGAACACUCCCAUGGAAGUCUCUGGAUUUCAUUCUGGUCUGAUUUUACACCAGUUUUAAGUCCAGGAGGCCAGAUUCUGAACUGGUGAAGUCAACAGAGCUCCACUGAUUUACCAGUGGAGAAUCUAGACCUCUGUCUGCAGUGGAGUUAUUCCUGAUUUACAAUGGUGUAAUGGAGACCAGAAGCAGGUCCUCUGUGACUAAUUAAAUGGGGAUAAAAGCUGUUUUUUUCCCCCCUGGCUGUGCUUAAGGAUCACCAGUUAAGGAUCUGGGCCCCAAGGUGCUGUAACACCAUCUAACAAAAAGAUUGUCCCUGCCCAAAAGAGCUUGCAAUCUCAGUGGGUAUAAAUAACUACACAAAGUGCAGGGCAAUGUAGAGGCUGGUCACUGGGGUGUAAAUCUGUCAGAAGUCUUAAGAGUUGGAAUUCUAUGGGAUGGAAAACAAGUAUGACUUACACAUCCAGGGGUCAGAAAGGGGUGUAAUUGCACUGCUGUUUUCAGGAUACCUUAUAUGCCAUGUCAAAUCCAUAGCUCGUAUAAAGUGGCAUGGAUCCAUUAAAGACAAUGGAACUACACUGGCUUACAUCUGUCAGGGAUCUGGCCCUAUGUGUGAUUUAUACCACUGUUGAAUUUGGCUCCCUGUUCUCCAUGCAGCAUACUGUUCAUCCUAUCCUGUGUUGGUACAUAGAUGGCCCACAUCUCCAGGGUAUCUGAGCACCUCACAAUCAUCAAUGAAAGUUUAUCCUCAUAUCCUGUGAGAGAUCCCCAUUUUAUAUUAUCCCCAUUUUAUAGUGGGGGAACUGAGUCACAGAAUACAUUAAGUGACUUGGCCAAGGUCAUGUCUGUGGCUGAGCCAAAAAUUGAACCCAGGUCUUCUGCAUCGCAGUCUGUGGCCCUAUUCAAGUGAUUAGACCAUCCUUCCUACCCUACAACCAUCCUUCUGUUUAUUUUCAGAUGGCAAAACAUCUCAGCAAGCUGCCUACUACAUUCUGAUCUCUUUUGGCUGCCACCAGUUUCCAGGGUCACACUGCGGCUUUAGGGAAACAUCAUCCCAUUCAGGCUGGACAGCGGGGAGAUCUGACAUCAGGUUCCUGCAGUGUUGAUUUCCUUACAGAUCACAGAGAGAAUUACAAAAUAGGCCUUGUCUACAGUGGAUACUUGCCCGGGUUACCAGUGCAAAACGCUAGUGUUAACAGGCAAAGCUGCUAUUUGCAUCACUGAUGUUUACUUUGGUUUCAAUAAGCAAACAGCAAGGGAAGAGCUAACUGCAUAGGUGCACAUCAUCCUUAGAGUGAUUUGGGCUGGGAUUUGCAUAGGUACAGCCACACGCAUCAUUUGCCACCAAUGUCUACUGUGGGAAUUUCAGCAAACAUUCUUUUUUGUCUCACUUGGAGGUCUGACUUUUUCCAUUGGACCAUAUGAACUGGAACCAUAAACUCACUGAACAUUAAAUCUCAUCAAAUGAGGGUAAAUCUAUCCUCACCAUCGUAUCCACUCAUUAUACUCCACACCUGAACAUAGCCAUUAUAUGAACAACAUACCCUCAUAUCUCAAUGUCUGUACUUUGACCCGUUAACGUUUUACCCCUAAUUGGGGAUAUUGCAGAUUAUGUAUUCCUCACACCAUCCAAUCCAAAACUGAACUUCGCACCCCUUGAUAAUCUGUACCUUAUUCAUAUUGAUAACCAGAAACUCUACACUUAAACUCUGUACCGUAUUUUUUUAUUUUAACAUCAUCUUAAUAAAAUUCUUAAACACCCUAGGAAAUAC